UCAGAUCACCAACAUGUUCUCUGUAGCUUUUCUGUUGCUACUGGCUGCUGGAUCCUAUGUGAAGUGUGAGCAGCUGACCCAGCCAGCCUCUGUGACUGUGCAGCCUGGUCAACGUCUGACCAUCAGCUGUCAGGUCUCUUAUUCUAUGAGCACCUAUGCAACAGCUUGGAUCAGACAGCCUGCUGGGAAAGGACUGGAGUGGAUUGGGUGGAAAUAUACUGGAGGUUCAUACUACAAAGAUUCACUGCAGAACAAAUUCAGUAUCGACUUAGACACUUCCAGUAACACAGUGACUCUAAAUGGACAGAAUAUGCAGCCUGAAGACUCUGCUGUGUAUUACUGUGCCAGAGACUCACAGUGACACAAACCAGCUGCAGAGCUGAACAAAAACCCAUCAGAACAUAAACAGAUUAUAUCAAACCACCAGGACUUUUUAGUUCAUUUUUCAUCCGUGGAAACUUUGUCAACCUUAUUUUACUCUUUUGUAAAAACUUUGUAGAAAUACAUCCUUACAACAAAAAUAUAGUUUUUGUCUCAUUUUUUAUACGUGUAAUUAAAAU